rnacentral:rRNA from 1 species
CCCUACGGGGCGCAGCAGUGGGGGAUAUUGCACAAUGGGGGAAACCCUGAUGCAGCGACGCCGCGUGUAGGAAGACGGUCCUCUGGAUUGUAAACUACUGUCCCCAGGGACGAAGAUGAUGGUACCUGGGGAGGAAGCUCCGGCUAACUACGUGCCAGCAGCCGCGGUAAUACGUAGGGAGCGAGCGUUGUCCGGAAUUACUGGGUGUAAAGGGAGCGUAGGCGGGGAUGCAAGUUGGUUGUGAAAUCCCUCGGCUCAACUGAGGAACUGCAACCAAAACUAUUCUCCUUGAGUGUCGGAGAGGA